rnacentral:lncRNA from 1 species
CGUGAGUCACUGUGCCCGGCCCGUGUUUGAUUAUUGUAACUGACAUCAGACCAGACAUGCAGAGAGGUGUCAUCACUGCCCCCUCCCAGCUCCCUGGACUCAUUCUACCUGUAGAGACCAGACACCUACGGAGGCAUCAUCAUGAUUGGGUAUUUGCCAGAACAAAGAAAACAAUCACAGAGGACCAUAAAAGUCCUUUAAGCUACAGAGUCAUAAAUCCUGAAUUACGAAUUCCCCCUGGGCAACCAAGCAACAGAACCACUGACAUCCCAGGUCCUGAGGGCUGACCUCUCAGAUUACUAAAACUAUACCUCUGCAUGGAGCAUCCUUAACUUUUCCUGCUGUCCUCUUGAACGGCAACUUUUAAAGUUAAGCUCUUAACAAAUUUGAAUUCUAAAUCUGUUCAACAAAAUUAAAUCAUUCCUGUGUUUUUCUGUGAA